rnacentral:rRNA from 1 species
GACGAACGCUGGCGGCGUGCUUAACACAUGCAAGUCGAGCGGUAAGGCCCCUUCGGGGGUACACGAGCGGCGAACGGGUGAGUAACACGUGAGUAACCUGCCCCAUUCUUUGGAAUAACCAGUGGAAACGCUGGCUAAUGCCGAAUAUGACCAUCGAAGGCAUCUUCUGGUGGUGGAAAGCUCCGGCGGAGUGGGAUGGACUCGCGGCCUAUCAGCUUGUUGGUGAGGUAACGGCUCACCAAGGCGACGACGGGUAGCCGGCCUGAGAGGGUGACCGGCCACACUGGGACUGAGACACGGCCCAGACUCCUACGGGAGGCAGCAGUGGGGAAUAUUGGACAAUGGGCGAAAGCCUGAUCCAGCAACGCCGCGUGAGGGAUGACGGCCUUCGGGUUGUAAACCUCUUUCAGCAGGGACGAAGCGAAAGUGACGGUACCUGCAGAAGAAGGACCGGCCAACUACGUGCCAGCAGCCGCCGCCGUAA